rnacentral:rRNA from 1 species
GACGAACGCUGGCGGCGUGCUUAACACAUGCAAGUCGAACGGAAAGGCCCUGCUUGCAGGGUGCUCGAGUGGCGAACGGGUGAGUAACACGUGGGUGAUCUGCCCCUUACUUUGGGAUAAGCCUGGGAAACUGGGUCUAAUACUGGAUAGGACCAUGCUGUAGGUGGUGUGGUGGAAAGAUUAGUUUCGGUAAGGGAUGAGCUCGCGGCCUAUCAGCUUGUUCGUGGGGUAAUGGCCUACCAAGGCGUCGACGGGUAGCCGGCCUGAGAGGGUGGACGGCCACAUUGGGACUGAGAUACGGCCCAGACUCCUACGGGAGGCAGCAGUGGGGAAUAUUGCACAAUGGGCGCAAGCCUGAUGCAGCGACGCCGCGUGGGGGAUGACGGCCUUCGGGUUGUAAACUCCUUUCAGCCAUGACGAAGCCCUUGUGGUGACGGUAGUGGUAGAAGAAGCACCGGCUAACUACGUG